rnacentral:lncRNA from 1 species
AGUUCAUUCAAAUUUUUUGUGGCCAAAACAAAUAUUAAGAUAAAAGUCAGUGGGGACUAUAAUUUGAGUUAUUCAAAUGCAAUAAAUCCGCGGAACCAAACGAGUUGCUAAUUUUACGUUAGACGCCCUUUAAUUUCACGCUGCCAUUUGUGGCUUCCGUUUCGUAUAAGUUUGGGUCGAUGAUUUUUAGAAUUUGCAUUUUCAAUUUGAAUAUAAAAAACCGCCGCUGCAGGUUUGCAGCUUUUAAAGUGAUCCGCAAUCUCAUUCCUAGUCAGUCGAAAAAAGUUCCAUUACCGAAUGACAUUUAUGAAGAAAUUGUGCAUAUUAAAUUGGGAUAUUGAUAAGUGAUAUCAUUGUUCCCAAGAAGUGAACGUCUAAACACAAAGGCAGACGGAUGAACAUUGCUAAAUGGACAGGCUUUCUUCUACCUCUUACAUACUUCUCAACGAAUCACAUAUACACUAUACUAUAAUGUGUUCACAAAAUACCAAAAAUGAUCAAGGUCUACACUCUAACGAUGUGCUGAAGUAGCUGCGCCGCAGAAAGAUAAAGCCUAAUGUGGAAAUACAAAUGUAAUUGCUUGCAGUUAAUUGACCCACAUACGAUUUCUAGUCCAUGCUUUUAAAUCCCGAUCUCUACAUCUGUUUUUGUUGCAGCCAAGUCAAUGUCAAGUGUUGCUUCGGCUGACUUACUACAAAAGUUAAUUGCACUGCACGCACAUGCCAAAAGGUAAAAAGAGUCGCGAGCCUCGGCGACAGGCUUCCAAAACCCUGUAUAUCCACAUCACCAGACCUCAGGACCUCAACUUACGACUCUGGCUACGAGGCGCGUGUGUGCAAUAUCAGGUUUCCGCAUCGACUUGCAUAGUGAUUCGAGGAUGUGCGAAAAUAUGAUUUAAAUUAAGGGAUCAUCAGUUUGCAACAGACUAUUUGUAUACCUUCCU